rnacentral:lncRNA from 1 species
AUGGGGGUCCCCAAAUUUUCGGGGGUCCCCAAACCCUCAGGGGUCCCCAAAUUUUCGGGCUUUGGUGACGUCAUGGGGGUCCCCAAAUUUUCGGGGGUCCCCAAAUUCCUGAGGGUCCCCAAAUUUUCGGGGGUCCCCAAACCCUCAGGGGUCCCCAAAUUUUCGGGGGUCCCCAAAUUUUCGGGCUCUGGUGACGUCAUGGGGGUCCCCAGAUUUUCGGGGGUCCCCAAAAUCCCAGGGUCAGGUGACGUUCCCAAAUUUUCGGGGGUCCAUAAAUUCCUGGGGGUCCCCAAAUUUUCGGGGGUCCCCAAAAUCCCAGGGUCAGGUGAUGUUCCCAAAUUCCUGGGGGUCCCCAAAUUUUCGGGCUUUGGUGACGUCAUAGGGGUCCCCAAAUUUUCCGGGGGGGUCCCCAAAUUUUCGGGCUUUGGUGACGUCAUGGGGGUCCCUAAAUUUUCGGGGGUCCCCAAAUUUUCGGGCUUUGGUGACGUCAUAGGGGUCCCCAAAUUUUUGGGGGUCCCCAAAUUUUCGGGCUUUGUUGACAUCAUGGGGGUUCCCAAAUUUUCGGGGGUCUCCGAAUUCCCGGAUCUCCUCAAAUUCCCGGAGCCCCCCCAAAAUUCGGGGUCGCCCUCCUCGAUUUCGGGGUCCCCGGUGCCGAUUUCGGGGUGCGGCCCCUCGGGGGCGCUGUCGGGGUCCCCCUGGAGCUCCUCCAGCUCCUCCUCUCGGGGGUCCGGGGGGGUCUCGGCGAACAAAACCUCGCGGGCGACCCCCGAAAUCCAUCGCUCGUGGGGCGGCACCGCCGUGAAUUUCGGGGGGUCCCCCGGGACGGGCGGGGCGGCCACGCCCAGCAGGAACCACAGGCCCCGCUCCUCGCAGGCCAGGGGGGACCCCAAAAAAUCCGCCUGGGGGGGACCCCGAAAAUAAAAUCCUCAGGUUGAUGGAGAGACACAAAUUUCCAAAAAAAAAAUUCCCCAAAAUGGUCCCAAAAUGCCCCAAAAAUGAUCCUGAAAAUGGUCCUAAAAUGCCCCAAAAACCAUCCCAAAAAUGGUCCCGAAAUACCCCAAAAACCGUCCCGAAAUACCCCAAAAACCGACCCAAAAAUGGUCCCAAAAUGCCCCAAAAAUGGUCCCGAUAUGUCCCAAAAACCGCCCCAAAAAUGGUCCCGAAAUACCCCAAAAAUAGUCCCAAAAACCAUCCCAAAAACGGUCCCGAAAUGCCCCAAAAACCGACCCAAAACUGGUCCCGAAAUGCCCCAAAAACCAACCCCAAAUAUGGUCCCAAAAUGCCCCAAAAAUGGUCCCGAAAUACCCCAAAAAUGGUCCCGAAAUACCCCAAGAACCGUCCCAAAAUACCCCCAAAACCAUCCCAAAAAUGGUCCCAAAAUGCCCCAAAAAUGAUCCCGAAAAUGGUCCCGAAAUACACCAAAAACCAUCCCAAAAUCAACCCCAAAAAUGGCCCCAAAGUG